rnacentral:rRNA from 1 species
GAUGAACGCUGGCGGCGUGCCUAAUACAUGCCAGUCGAGCGAACAGACGAGGAGCUUGCUCCUCUGACGUUAGCGGCGGACGGGUGAGUAACACGUGGAUAACCUACCUAUAAGACUGGGAUAACUUCGGGAAACCGGAGCUAAUACCGGAUAAUAUAUUGAACCGCAUGGGUCAAUAGUGAAAGACGGUUUUGCUGUCACUUAUAGAUGGAUCCGCGCCGCAUUAGCUAGUUGGUAAGGUAACGGCUUACCAAGGCGACGAUGCGUAGCCGACCUGAGAGGGUGAUCGGCCACACGGGAACUGAGACACGGUCAAGACUCCUACGGGAGGCAGCAGUAGGGAAUCGUCGGCAAUGGGCGAAAGCCUGACGGAGCAACGCCGCGUGAGUGAUGAAGGUCUUCGGAUCGUAAAACUCUGUUAUUAGGGAAGAACAAAUGUGUAAGUAACUAUGCACGUCUUGACGGUACCUAAUCAGAAAGCCACGGCUAACUACGUG